UACAGAGGUCCCGAGCGUUGUUCGGAUUCACUGGGCGUAAAGGGUGCGUAGGUGGUCGGGUAAGUCUGAUGUGAAAUCUCCGAGCUCAACUCGGAAAUGGCAUUGGAUACUACUUGGCUAGAGGGUUGGAGGGGGACUGGAAUACUUGGUGUAGCAGUGAAUGCGUAGAUAUCAAGUGGAACACCAGUGGCGAAGGCGAGUCCCUGGACAACUCCUGACACUGAGGCACGAAAGCUAGGGGAGCAAACAGG
rnacentral:rRNA from 1 species